rnacentral:rRNA from 1 species
GGGCCCGCACAAGCGGUGGAGCAUGUGGUUUAAUUCGAUGAUACGCGAGGAACCUUACCAGGGCUUAAAUGGGAAAUGACAGGGGCAGAGACGCCCCCUUCUUCGGACAUUUUUCAAGGUGCUGCAUGGUUGUCGUCAGCUCGUGCCGUGAGGUGUCAGGUUAAGUCCUAUAACGAGCGCAACCCCUACCGUUAGUUGCCAGCGUGUAAUGACGGGGACUCUAACGGAACUGCCGGUGCAAACCGUGAGGAAGGUGGGGACGACGUCAAAUCAUCACGGCCCUUACGUCCCUGGGCUACACACGUACUACAAUGCUACGGACAAAGGGCAGCAAGUUCGCGAGGACAAGCAAA